AUCCCAGUGAUACUGUACAGAUAACAACAUAUAAAGCAAAACAAAAUAUAAACAAAAUGAAAUGACACCACUCUAGGGUAUUAAUGAAUUUUCACUGCAAUGGAAAUACCAAAGUGAUGUAGUCAUAUAGAGCACUUGAAAAGUCAAGAAAACAAGGAAUAUGCUUGUAAUGAAACCCUCACUAAAAAUGCAACCAUCUCUCAAAAAUAUCCUAGCCGGUGGUUAGAGUUAAACAAAAGUUGCCAACUACAGACUUCAAAUGAUGUUUUAUUUAAUGAGCUCUUAAGAUUGUGUGAAGAUCAAACCCUGUCUGCCUUGACAUUGUACAUUAGCGCCGACAAUGAACAUUGUGUCCAUAAUGCUUCCUUUACUAAUGACAGUUUUUUUCUGUGAAUAUUCCAAUGGUUUAAUUGUUUCUAUCGCUGAAAAUUUCGUAUUCGACCUGAACAAUUCUACUGUUUAUAUCAAUUGCUAUAGAAACGAGUCUGAUAGUUCAAACAAGUCCUGCGGUGGCUUAUAUCUAAACAUUGUAAAAGCAGGUUGCCAACGAUUUGUCACUAGGUACACGACUUCCAAAUAUAUAGAAACAAUUUGGUUUUCUUUUUCAACUAUACUAACAGUCUACGUUAUUGUAUUAUUUUUCCUUGAAAAGUAUACAGAAAUUUUCACUAAAUGUAGGAUUGACUAUCUUGUGACGAAAAUAAGUGGAUAACCAGGAUGUUUAUUUUCUACAUUUUGUAGGUUUAUUUGAUAAAGAAGAUAUUUACUGCACAAUAGACGAGGCUUUUGUAUCUACAACACAUCACGAUUUUAAAAGGGAGAUCACUGCAAGAAAAUGUAGCAUCGAGGAAACACAUCAAUACAACUAAUUUAAUAAAGUUUAAUUCACUUAUUUUAAA